rfam:Tatumella morbirosei strain LMG 23360 Contig5, whole genome shotgun sequence.
GUGGGGAGCUGAAUUAGAGAUCGGCAACCUGAAAUCAAACAUAUACUGGAGUUUAUUAUGUCUCUAAGCGUAGAAGCUAAAGCAGAGAUCGUUGCUAAAUACGGUCGUGGUACC